GUGACCUCAGAUCAGGCAAGACCACCCGCUGAGUUUAAGCAUAUCACUAAGCGGAGGAAAAGAAACUAACAAGGAUUUCCUUAGUAACGGCGAGCGAAC
rnacentral:rRNA from 2 species